rnacentral:rRNA from 1 species
UACGUAGGGUGCGAGCGUUAAUCGGAAUUACUGGGCGUAAAGGGUGCGCAGGCGGCCGAUCGCGGUUUGCGGUGAAAGCUCCCGGCUUACCUGGGAGAGGGCCGUGAAGACGGGUUGGCUUGAGGCUCGGGAGAGGGACGUGGAAUUCCGGGUGGAGUGGUGAAAUGCGUAGAGAUCCGGAGGAACACCGAAGGCGAAGGCAGUGUCCUGGCGAGUGACUGACGCUGAGGUGCGAAAGCCAGGGGAGCGAACGGG